GGAGGAAAAGAAACUAACAAGGAUUCCCCUAGUAGCGGCGAGUGAAGCGGGAAGAAGCUCAAAUUUGUAAUCUGGCGUCCUUCGGGCGUCCGAGUUGUAAUCUAUAGAAGUGUUUUCCGUGCCGGACCAUGUCCAAGUCCCUUGGAACAGGGUAUCAAAGAGGGUGACAAUCCCGUACUUGACAUGACCACCGGUGCUCUGUGAUACACUUUCUACGAGUCGAGUUGUUUGGGAAUGCAGCUCAAAAUGGGUGGUAAAUUCCAUCUAAAGCUAAAUAUUGGCGAGAGACCGAUAGCGAACAAGUACCGUGAGGGAAAGAUGAAAAGCACUUUGGAAAGAGAGUUAAACAGUACGUGAAAUUGUUGAAAGGGAAACGAUUGAAGUCAGUCGUGUUCUUUGGACUCAGCCGGUUCUUCCGGUCUAUUUCCUUUGAACGGGUCAACAUCAGUUUUGUCCGGUGGAUAAAGGCAGGAAGAAAGUGGCUCCCUCGGGAGUGUUAUAGCUUUCUGUCACAUACACUGGAGGAGACUGAGGACUGCAGCUCGCCUUUUGGCCGGGGUUCGCCCACGUUCGAGCUUAGGAUGUUGACAUAAUGGCUUUAAACGACCCGUCUA
rnacentral:rRNA from 1 species